GUUUGAUCCUGGCUCAGAAUCAACGCUGGCGGCGUGCCUAACACAUGCAAGUCGAACGAGAAAGUGGGGGCAACUCCAUGAGUAAAGUGGCGACCGGGUGAGUAACACGUAGCUAACCUACCCUCGAGCGGGGGAUAACCUGGGGAAACCUGGGCUAAUACCGCAUAACAUCCCGAUGUCCAUGAUAUUGGGAGCAAAGGCCCGCAAGGGUCACUGGAGGAGGGGGCUGCGGACGAUUAGCUAGUUGGUGAGGUAACGGCUCACCAAGGCGAUGAUCGUUAGCCGGCCUGAGAGGGCGCACGGCCACACUGGCACUGACACACGGGCCAGACUCCUACGGGAGGCAGCAGUGGGGAAUUUUGCACAAUGCCCGAAAGGGUGAUGCAGCAACGCCGCGUGAGGGAUGAAGGCCUUCGGGUCGUAAA
rnacentral:rRNA from 1 species